rnacentral:lncRNA from 1 species
CGCGGGCUUUGGCCACUGACCCUUAUUAACCUGGUUGUUCUGUUCUGCGUUGUGUACUAUUCUAAUAACUUGAAGUUUGAUGGAAUAACCUUUUUAACUCUCCUACAGUAUAUGUAAAGACAAGAUAAAAUCAAUAAUAGUGUGAUAUUAGCAUAUCACUUAUGAAUUAUAUAUUAUCACUUGUGAAUGAUGCCCAGUUUAAGGCAAACUUCACAUGCUGUUUUUUGCGACUUUAUCGAACAAAACGCCGAUAUAUUUUGAUAAGGAUAGAGGAGCCCUUGCCCUGCCUGAAAGAAUCCCUGCGGAACUCGACGCUGGACUUGGCCAGUGGAUAUUGGUAGGUCCGGGUGGAUCCGAGAGACCAAGAGAAGACAGCCUUCACCACGCCUCUUGAUCUCUAUAAGAUCGAACGGAUGCCCGUCGCUCUGUGUAAUGCCCCUGCCACAUUCCAGCAUCUGAUGCAGCCGUGCCUCUGGCAAUAGGUAAACGAUUUCUUCAGCUGGUACCUUCAAUAUCUUAGCUCUAUGCACCAUGUCAUAAAAAUGUCCAUGCAUGGUCUGAGCUACAGUGCCAGUCAAAAGUUUGGACACACCUACUCACUCAUUCAUUUUCUUUGUUUUUACUAUUUUUCUACUUUGUUGAAUAAUAGUGAAGACAUCAAAACUAUGAAAUAACACAUAUGGAAUAAUGUAGUAACCAAAAAAGUGUUAAACAAA